UGCAAGUCGAACGAGAAGCUCGGAGCUUGCUCCGGGCGGAGAGUGGCGAACGGGUGAGGAACACGUGAGGAACCUGCCCCGAAGACCGGGAUAACACCGGGAAACCGGUGCUAAUACCGGAUGCCCUCACCGGAUCGCAUGGUCCGGUGAGGAAAUGGAUUCCGCUUCGGGAUGGCCUCGCGGCCUAUCAGCUUGUUGGCGGGGUAACGGCCCACCAAGGCUUCGACGGGUAGCUGGUCUGAGAGGAUGUCCAGCCACACUGGGACUGAGACACGGCYCAGACKSCKACGGRAGGCAGCAGUGGGGAAUCUUGCACAAUGGGCGAAAGCCUGAUGCAGCGACGCCGCGUGCGGGAUGACGGCCUUCGGGUUGUAAACCGCUUUCAGYAGGGACGAAAUUGACGGUACCUGCAGAAGAAGCCCCGGCCAACUACGUGCCAGCAGCCGCGGUAAUACGUAGGGGGCGAGCGUUGUCCGGAUUUAUUGGGCGUAAAGAGCUCGUAUGCGGUUUGGUAAKUCGGAUGUGAAAUCUCCACGCUCAACGUGGAGGCGCCWUUCGAUACUGCCAUGACUUGAGUACGGUAGAGGAGUGUGGAAUUCCUGGRGUAGCGGUGAAAUGCGCACAGAUC
rnacentral:rRNA from 1 species